rnacentral:rRNA from 1 species
CCUACGGGCGGCAGCCGUGGGGAAUAUUGGACAAUGGGCGCAAGCCUUACCCAGCAAUACCGCGUGAGUGAAGAAGGUCUUCGGAUUGUAAAGCUCUUUGAUCAGGGACGAACAGAUGACGGUGCCUGAAGAACAAGCCCCGGCUAACUACGUGCCAACAGCCGCGGUAAAACGUAGGGGGCGAGCGUUGUCCUGGAUGACUGGGCGUAAAGGGUGUGUAGGCGCCAUAAUAAGUUAGAAGUGAAAUAGCCAGGGCUUAACACGGGUGCUGCUUCUGAGACUGUUGAGCUAGAGUGAGAGAGAGGUAAGUGGAAUUCCAAGUGAAGCGGUGGAAUGCGUAGAUAUAUGGAGGAACACCAGAGGCGAAGGCGAUUAACUGGACCGUAACUGACGCUGAGGCACGAAAGUGUGGGUAGCAAACAGGAUUAGAUACCCGAGUAGUC